rnacentral:misc_RNA from 1 species
AAGUCGUAACAAGGUCUCCGUUGGUGAACCAGCGGAGGGAUCAUUACAGAGUCGUAAAACACUCCCAAACCAUUGUGAACUUACCAUUUGUUGCCUCGGCGGUCCCCUGCCGGAUAGCGAGCUACCCUGUAGCGACCUACCCUGUAGCCCGCCGGUGGACAUCUAAACUCUUGUUAUUCUAUGGAUAUCUGAGCGUCUUAUUUAAUAAGUUAAAACUUUCAACAACGGAUCUCUUGGUUCUG